CCAUGGCAUAUGGAGGUUCCAAGGCUAGGGUCCAAUCGGAACUGUAGCUGCCGGCCUACACCACAGCCACAGCAACGCAGAAUCCAAGCUGCAUCUGCGACCUACACUACAGCUCACAGCAAUGCCGGAUCCUUAACCCACUGAACAAGGCCAGGGAUCGAACCUGCAACCUCAUGGUUCCUAGUCAGAUUCGUUAACCGCUGCGCCACGACAGGAACUCCAAUUUUAUUCAUAAUCUGAAAUUCCUCUUAAACAUAUUCAUUUAUUCACUUUUUUUUUUUUUUUUUUGUCUUUUUAGGGCCUCCCCCACAGCAUAUGGACAUUCCCAGGUUAGGGGUUGAAUCGGAGCUACAGCUGCUGGCCUACACCACAGCCACAGCAACACCAGUGUGAGCCACAUCUGCGAACUACACCACAGCUCAUGGCAACCCUGGAUCCUUAGUCCACUGGGCAAAGCCAGGGAUCAAACCUGUGUCCUCAUGGAUUCUAGUCAGAUUUGUUUCCACUGAGCCAUGACAGGAACUCCCCAAUAUUCUUAUAUAUAUACCUAGUAGGACUAAAACGUGGUUCAUCCACUUUCAAAGGCAAUUCAGCAGCAUUUAUUAGAUUUUUUAAUGUGCCCACCAUAGACCCCACUUCUCACUCCACUUCUCACUUCUUUUACAUUUUUAGAAAAACACUGGACAAACGGACAUGGCCAAGGGGUACAGCUUUGUUUAUGUUAGCAAAGAAUUGGAAACCACCUAAGGGUCACUAAUUCAGAAAUAGUUAAAGAAGUUAUGAGACAGCCAUGGCAUGCUGUGCGGCAGUAAACAAAUGAUGAAAUACAUUUAUAAUUCAAUAAUACAUGAUUCUGCAAGACACUACGCAGUUUAAAUAAAAGAGACAAGUUGCCAAAUGAUAGACACAGUACAAAACACUUUUUUGUUACUUAAAAAUUAUGUUUCUCUAGGUUAAUAUAUUUGUAAGUACAUGUAAAGCAAAACAUCUAAAAAGAUACACACCAAAGCAAUGAUAAGGGCACAUGUGGCUUGAAGGCUGUGGUUCUGGAGCCUUUAUUUUUAUCUAUAUUGUUUGAAUAUUUAAAAGAAUCCAUUCAUAUACUACUUGUACUAUUUUGAACGACUUUUUACAAUUUAAUAAGGUUUAAAAAAGAAUUGCAAUUUUUAAAAAAGUGCCAAAAUAGAGAUAUGAACAAGGUACCAAAAGAAGGUGAAAAUAAUCUAUUCUAUGAUGUUUUCCAUCCCCUAAACAUACCUUUAUUCCUUUUUAACAAAAUAACUUAUAGGAGUUCCCUGCUGGCUCAGUGGGCUAAGGAUUUGGCUUUGUCAUCACUAUGACUCCAGUUGCUGCUGUGGCGCAGGUUCAAUCCCUGGUCCCAGAACUUCUACAUGCCAUAGGCGUGGCCCCCCUCAAAAAUUGUUUUUAAAUUAUAUAUCUCAGAAUUCCCACUGUGGUACAGUGGGUUAAGGAUCCAGUGUUUUCUCUGCAAUAACGUGGGUUCUGUCCCCAGCCCCGCAGAGUGGGUUAAGGAUCUAGUGUUGCCACAGCUAUGGCAGAGAUUGCAGCUGCAGCUUGGAUUCAGUCCCUGGCCUGAGAACUUGCAUAUGCCACAGGUCUGGCCCAAAAUAAAUAAAUGAAAUAAAUUCUCCAUCUCAACUUUAGAAUGCUCACUAAUUUUCAGAAGUUAGAAUGAAAAUUAUGAAGUAUCAGGUUGAUUAGUUAUUCCUGCCAGUGGCUCUCUGCAGUGUCAGCAAUGUAAGUCUUACCUAAGAAGUGAGGAAAUGGGAACGGGAAAUGAAUGCCCUGCCCAGGAUCACUCAAUAGUCUCAAUACUCAAUGGCAAGAAUGGAAUUUCUAAUCCAAAGGACCCACUGAAAUUGAUCCUGUGUUCAAAUCAGAAGUCAGAUAACAGUAGGUGAUGGUUUAGAGGCAUCUCCUAUUAAGAAACCAGAAAAUAUGGCUGGCCUCACCCAUUAGAUGUCUUUACAGGGCCAUGAGUCUCAUGCUUAUAGGACAACCAGGACAUUUUGGUCCUUCCUCCACAGCAAAGAAACAGCAAGAGGCCCUAAGCACAUUCUGAGCCUGAUUCUCCAAGGUUACUCUUCUGCUACACAUCAAAUGUGAAGUCAGCCUCUACACAGUGUGAAUCACUGCCUUAGAGGGGUCCCUUUAUGUGGCCAUAUGUCUCAAGCUAGAAGAAGACCCACUGAUUUGAAUGAAUCUCCUAGCACAUUUUUCGUGAUAAAGUAAAAAUUCCAUUUUAUUCCUCACUCAGCUCCACAAGUAAAAAGUACCUAGAAAUGUUUGCACAUGCCACACAUAAAUUCAUGGAUAAAGCUGAAGCUCCUGUCAGCCCUCAUUUAUUCGCAACAGGUGAGUCAGAAGCACAUGCUGGCAAGAUGUGAUGCUGAGUAACUUGGCUUUUUUUCUCCCUGAUGUAACUGAGACCUGUAAUGUUAUUUGAUGCAGUUUUCUGUAUUUAAUUAAUUUAACAUUCCAGAUUUUUAAUUUGCAUUUAAUUUAACAUUUCAGGUUUUUAAUUUACCAGAUAUUGUUUAUCAAAUAUUCAUUUCAGAGACUUUCUCCGUAUAUACAGUGCAUUCCCCCCUUUAAUUAGUGUGUGGUAAAUUAAUUCUUCUAUCCUUGCUUCUUCAUCAGAUAUUGGAUUAAGGAAGUUGCGCUGUUUCAACACAGCACAUAAACUCGUUUAUUAAACCAAGAUGGUAAAUUUCCCCAUGUACGUGCAUUGCUAGUCUGCUUUCAUGCUUAACCUGAUAAAAACUGUUACGAUUGAAACCAGAAAUCUGUUAUUAUUUAAAACCUGCUGCUUGGCUUGACAACGAGAGUGUUAAAUUUUGUAUACAAUCCAAUUAUUGGAUCCAGUUUUGCUCUUUUCUUGCUCCUAGAACUGUAACUCAGCCACCUCCCCCCUGAGGCUUUUUCUUCUGUCUCCCUUCAUUCAUGUUCCCAACCUCUCCCUCCCUGGGAUACUUGUCAAAAUGAGAUGACACUCAUCAAAGCUCUCUGUUCACUCUUCUCUUAUGAUUCAGGCUAUCCCAAUUUAUAAACUUACCAUCUCAUCCUUAAGUUUUACACCUUACUUUUCUGUUACCUCCUCCCUACCUCCUAGCAAAUAAUAACCAGUUCUCAAAGUGAUACUAUAUUUAAAUUCCAUUGGUAGAGACCAUUGUGGAAGGAGGGAGUCUUAGCUCUCCUAUUUGAGAACAUUUUCUUCUCAACUCUUUAUCCCAAACAAGCCUACCUAGUGUAAUGCCUUACACAAAUAGGCACACAGUAAAUGUUUGUCGGAUGUUUGGAGAGAGGCUAGAUAAGUAGAUGGUUAGAUGGAUGGAGGCAUGGAUACAUAGCAAGAUGUCUACUGGGUACCUAGUACCAAGCUAGCUCUUUAAACUAGGUUUUCUCAUAUAAAUAUUUCUCAUAAGGAGGAAGUAUCCCCAUUUAACUGAUGAGCACGCUGACACCCAGCAGUUUAAAUAAGGGUUUGCUCAUGAUCUCAUGGCUGACAAGGAGCCGAGCCUAAAUCUGAUCUUCCUGUACUUAUUGCACCUGGCCAGGUCUGGCUAUGUCAUUUGAUAGAACUGCUAUCAUCUGAGUGUGCCUCCCUUCCCCCCAAAUUCAUAUAUUGAAAUCCUAAUGUCUGAUGUGAUGCUAUCAGGAGGUAAAAAUUUUGGUUGGGGGUUAGGUCAUGAGAGCAUUCUUAAUCCAUGAAUGAGAUUAGUGCCCUUGUAAGAGAGACCCUAGGAGACCCCUCACCCCUUCCACCACAUAAGGAUACAAUAAGUCUCCACCCCAAAAGAGAGCCCUCACCUUUCUGAUCUCAGACUUCUAGCCUCUAGACCUGUGAGAAAUACGUUUCCGUUGCUUCUAAGCUACCAAGUCUAUUGUAUUUUGCCACAGCAGCCCAAACAGAUUAAGACAGGAGUCCAAUGCAAAAUUAAAAUGUGGACCCCUUGUUUGGAAAUUAUUAACAAUUUCAAGACAGUGACAGCAGAGCAUUAAACCUAAUGUGGGGCUCUUUGAAGCAUAGAGUCUGUGGGGCUUCACAGGUCACACACUCACACAGACAGCCCUGUACCUGGGGCUGAACCAGUCAUUACCCAUGUUCCAGCUCCUCACUCCCAGGCUGCCAUCCAGCCUGUCAGAGGCUGAGAAACCCACCAGCCUCACCACAUCUACAGACAGGGAAUUUGAACCUUGUUCAGAUACUUGUGAUAAUAAGUUAAAUAUACCUCCCAGGAGUUCCUGCUGUGGUGCAAUGGAUUAAGAUCCCAGAUGCAGCAGCUCAGGUCACUGCCGAGGAGAUGGUUCAAUCCCUAGCCUGAGGCAGUAGGUUAAAGGAUCCAGCAUUGCCACAACUGCAGCAUAGGUCACAGCUGUGGCUCGGAUUCAAUGCCUGGCCCAGGAACUUCCAUAAGCCAAGAGUGAAGCCAUAAAAAUAAUAAUAAUGAUAAUAAUAAUAAAUUAGAUAUACCUCCUAAAAUAGAUUGGGAAGGAGUUCCCUGGUGACUAGUGGUUUAAGGAUCAGGCAUUGUCACUGCUGUGGCUCUGGUUACUGCUGUAGUGUGAGUUUGAUCCCUGGCCCAGAAACUUCCAUAUGCCUUGGGCAUGGCCAAGAAACAAAAUAGACUGGGAAUGACAAUGAACAAAACACUUCAAAAUAUGUUUCUAUAGCAUUCAGCAUGUCUUCACCACCAACAUCACCCCAUUACCCCAACCAGGGAUAGUGAUGGGAGCUAGGGAAAUAGUAUAUGCUUUGCUCUGCGAUUCCUCACUGACAAACCAAAUAAAACAAACUCUCUAAGAAUAGGUAUCCUGAACUUGCUACUCUGCUGAAACAGAUUAAAUACAUUGGCAGGUAAGGAAAAGCCAGAUGCAGCAUGAGAAGCAUAAGGAGUGAAGGGGUAACAGUCCAGUAUUUGAGCUCCUGAGAGCUGGAGCUGAUGGUGUGCCCUGGAAAGGAUUCUCUCUCUGAAUCUCUACCAGGCAAUAUCAGGGCCAGUUUGGUGUGAUCCAAGCCUAAGAAGUCCUAGUGUGAAGCUCAACACGUUAUAGGCCACAAGCUAAAUGACUGCUCCUCCCACCCCUAUAAGCCAUCUCACUCUGGCUACUAUUCUUUUCAAAGGAAAGAUAAUGACAUGUUGAUGGCUACUUAAAGAAAUCCUUAAGACACCAAUUUCAGAGGUGGUGGCCAUUGAUAAACUAUCACAAAACAGGAACAAGAAAGUCUUUGAGAUCUGUGGAACAGCACAAAGUGGUGAUGGCAACCCUGCUUGUGACCUAGGAGAGCGUGUUAAAAGGACAACAAAUAAUAAAACCAGCACUGAGGUCAUUCAAGAUGAGACAAUGCACCAAAUUAUAGGCAAACACUUACUCUUCGACUAUUGAAGGCCAAGUUUUGGUGUCCUUGAGGGCAGGGCUCACGUCUGCCUUGAUCCUUGAAGAAUCCCCAAGAUCUCACAAAUAUGAUGCCAAGAUCUCCCAGAUGCUCAAUAUCUGGGAGAACAGAAGGAUAGGAAGAUGUUACAAGAGGAACGAUGAGACAAGGUGAGAAGGCACAACUGCAAGUGUCCUUCCUUUGUCAUUUUUAUUUAUCUCCAAAAGUAGAUGAUGCCAUCUGUAUAAAUUCUUCGUUGAGUUGUAUUUUUUUCUCUUUUUUUUUUUUUUUUUUUUUUUGUCUUUUUGCCUUUUCUAGGGUCGCUCCUGUGGCAUAUGGAGGUUUCCAGGCUAGGGGUCUAAUGGGAGCUGUUGCUGCCUGUCUACACAACAGCCACAGCAAUGCCGGAUCUUUAACCCACUGAGCAAGGCCAGGGAUCAAACCCGCAACCUCGUGGUUCCUAGUCAGAUUCGUUAACCACUGAGCCACAAUGGGAACUCCUGCUGAGUUAGACUUUAAUGAUUUAUACGUAUCACAUUUAACUUCAUCUCUUAGGAACUUGGGUGCCAUGGCUGUCACCUAAAGUCCAGAACUGGUGUCAGCAUUUGACUGUCCCUUUAUCAUUUACUUCUGGCCAUCUGAAUAGUUGCAGUGUUCCUGGCACUGUUAUCCCUGUUGGAUAACAAUGCUGGUACCUGGGGGAUUGUCAGCCAGGAGAUGCUGACUGUCUGUCAUUUGCUGUGAGGCAUUCUUUUUUAAAUAAGCUUUUCAUUUUGGAUUAAUCUCAAAUCUCCAGAAAAGUGACAAAAACAGUAGAGGGGUCUCACAUAUUUCUUACAUGGUUUCCCAUAACGUUAACAUCUUGCAUAACUAUGAUAGCAUUCUUAAAACCAGGACAUUAACACUGGUACAUGAUUGUUAAUGAAAAUCCAGAAUUUAUUCCCAUUUUGCCAGCUGUUCCACUAAUGUCCUUUUAAAAAAAACUAAUAGACUUUUUUUUUUGAUACACUUUUAGAUUUACACAAAAAUUCAGCAGGUAGUACAGGUCUUACAUACCCAUCCCAUU
rnacentral:lncRNA from 1 species